UACGUAGGGUGCAAGCGUUGUCCGGAAUUAUUGGGCGUAAAGAGCUCGUAGGCGGUUUGUCGCGUCGGCCGUGAAAUCUCCACGCUUAACGUGGAGCGUGCGGUCGAUACGGGCAGACUUGAGUUCGGUAGGGGAGACUGGAAUUCCUGGUGUAGCGGUGAAAUGCGCAGAUAUCAGGAGGAACACCGGUGGCGAAGGCGGGUCUCUGGGCCGAUACUGACGCUGAGGAGCGAAAGCGUGGGGGAGCGAACAGG
rnacentral:rRNA from 1 species